AUUAUACAGAUCCGGAUAUCCGGAAUAUCCACCCGUAAUCCGUGCAGAUAUUACCCACAUUCGGAUGCCAAAAGUUUAAUCUGGAUCUAAAUUUUGCCAUCCCUAACUAAUCCCUACUCAAUUAGUUAAAAAAGUGUACUUUAUCACUUAAGUGUUACUGAGGACAUAUUGAUAUAACUUCAUCCAAUUUUGGAGCAUGUAUGACACAAAUUGCUUCUUUCUCAACAAAGGAUUCACGUGAUGAAAAUAACACUAAUUUGCCAAAGGAAAGAAAUAAAAAGGUCCAAAAGAGAUUGUCCGCUAAAAAAUCCUGUAUCUGUAUGAUACAAAUUGCUUCUUUCUCAACAAAGGAUUCAAGUGAUGAAAAUAGCACUAAUUUGCUAAAAGAAAGAAAUAAAAAGGUCCAAAAGAGAUUGUCUCUAAAAAAUCUUGUAUCUGGCACUUAAUUAUGCAUCAAAUGACAACUUGGUAGAUCUUAACUUGUCCAACUAAGCCAUAAUAUAAACCCAAAGAAGUUCAAAUAAUGAAACUUAAUUUAUUGAUAGGUGCUUCAAGAUUUGAUUCCCACCAUCCCAGAUAAUUAAAUUGAUCGAAGAUGUUACCGUUUCAUAUAAAAGCCUGCACUUUUUAGUUAGUGAUACGAGUAGGAUUCCAUUAGCCACCAAUCUCUUUCAAGAUUUGUAUAUAAGUUAUUUCAAUUAUUGAGCUUUAAAAUAAGCAUGUUUUUAUAAUUAUUAUUUUUAUAUUCCUAGCUUGUUUUCUACCAAGUCCAAAUUUGUUUUGAUAAGUGCACAACAUUGUGUGUCUAAAUUGUUCAGGGAUGGCAAAACUCCGAGUCGGGUCUGGGUAUUGCAAUGAUCGGACCCUGCCCGGAUGCAAUCGGUCCGGGUCCGGAUUUUAAUCCGGGUACC
rnacentral:lncRNA from 1 species